rnacentral:tRNA from 1 species
GGAGACGUGCGAGAGCGGACGAUUCGGCACGCCUGGAACGCGUGUGUGGGGCAACUCACCGUGGGUUCGAAUCCCACCGUCUCCG